GCCUAGGUGGCUCAGUUGGUUAAGCGUCUGACUUUGACUUAGGUCAUGAUCUCAUGGUUUGUGAGUUCAAGCCCCACAUUGGGCG
rfam:Felis catus isolate Cinnamon breed Abyssinian chromosome A2, whole genome shotgun sequence.